rnacentral:rRNA from 1 species
GGAGUCGCGUCUACCUGCAGUCGACGCGAAAGGGGGGCAACCCCCGAGUAGAGUGGCGAACGGGUCAGUAAUACAUCGGAACGUGUCCAGUAACGGGGGAUAACCUCUCCAAAGAGAGGCUAUAUACCGCAUACGUCCUACGGUAUAAAGAGGGGGAUCGCAAGACCUCUCACUAUUGGAGCGGCCGAUGUCUGAUUAUCUAUUUGGUGGGGUAGCGGCCCACCAAGGCUACUAUCCGUAGCUGGUCUGAUAGGACGACCAACCACACUAUAACUGACACUGGGUCCACACUCCUACGGGAAGUACCAGUGGGGAAUUUUGGACAAUGGGCGCAAGCCUGAUCCAACCAUGCCGCGUGAGUGAACAAGGGCUUCAGGUUGUAAAUCUCUUUCGGCUGGCACUAAAAGGUCCGUGCUAGCACCACGGAUCCAUGACGGUACCAACAGAAGAAGCACCGGCUAACUACGCUCCAGCAGCCGCGGUAAUACAUACGGUGCAGGCGUUAAUCGGAAUUACUGGCCGUAAAGCGUGCGCACGCAGUCUGCUAAGACAGGUGUGAAAUCCCCCGGCUUAACCUGGCAACUGCGCUUGUAACUGACAGGCUUGAGUGUGGCAGAGGGAGGUGGAAUUCCAUGUGUAGCAUUGAAAUGCAUGCAGAUCUGGAGGAACACCGAUGGCGAACGCAGCCCCCUGGUCUAACACUGACUCUCAUGCACGAUAGCGUGGGGAGCAAACAAGAUUAGAUACCCUGGUAGUCCACGCCACACACUAUGUCAACUGGUUGUCGGGCAAGCAAUUCCUUGUUAACGAAGCUAACACGUGAAUUUGACCCCCUGCGGAGUA